UACGAAGGGGGCUAGCGUUGCUCGGAAUCACUGGGCGUAAAGCGCACGUAGGCGGACUCUUAAGUCGGUGGUGAAAUCCUGGAGCUCAACUCCAGAACUGCCUUCGAUACUGAGAGUCUCGAGUCCGGGAGAGGUGAGUGGAACUGCGAGUGUAGAGGUGAAAUUCGUAGAUAUUCGCAAGAACACCAGUGGCGAAGGCGGCUCACUGGCCCGUACUGACGCUGAGGUGCGAAAGCGUGGGAGCAAACAGG
rnacentral:rRNA from 1 species